rnacentral:rRNA from 1 species
UAUAUAAACAAAGCGAAUUAUAAUACACUUGAAUAAUUUUGAACGAAAGGGAAUACGGUUCCAAUUCCGUAACCUGUUGAGUAUCCGUUUGUUAUUAAAUAUGGGCCUCGUGCUCAUCCUGGCAACAGGAACGACCAUAAAGAAGCCGUCGAGAGAUAUCGGAAGAGUUUUCUUUUCUGUUUUAUAGCCGUACUACCAUGGAAGUCUUUCGCAGAGAGAUAUGGUAGAUGGGCUAGAAGAGCAUGACAUAUACUGUUGUGUCGAUAUUUUCUCCUCGGACCUUGAAAAUUUAUGGUGGGGACACGCAAACUUCUCAACAGGCCGUACCAAUAUCCGCAGCUGGUCUCCAAGGUGAAGAGUCUCUAGUCGAUAGAAUAAUGUAGGUAAGGGAAGUCGGCAAAUUAGAUCCGUAACUUCGGGAUAAGGAUUGGCUCUGAAGAUUGAGAUAGUCGGGCUUGAUUGGGAAACAAUAACAUGGUUUAUGUGCUCGUUCUGGGUAAAUAGAGUUUCUAGCAUUUAUGUUAGUUACUUGUUCCCCGGAUAGUUUAGUUACGUAGCCAAUUGUGGAACUUUCUUGCUAAAAUUUUUAAGAAUACUAUUUGGGUUAAACCAAUUAGUUCUUAUUAAUUAUAACGAUUAUCAAUUAACAAUCAAUUCAGAACUGGCACGGACUUGGGGAAUCCGACUGUCUAAUUAAAACAAAGCAUUGUGAUGGCCCUAGCGGGUGUUGACACAAUGUGAUUUCUGCCCAGUGCUCUGAAUGUCAAAGUGAAGAAAUUCAAGUAAGCGCGGGUCAACGGCGGGAGUAACUAUGACUCUCUUAAGGUAGCCAAAUGCCUCGUCAUCUAAUUAGUGACGCGCAUGAAUGGAUUAACGAGAUUCCUACUGUCCCUAUCUACUAUCUAGCGAAACCACAGCCAAGGGAACGGGCUUGGAAUAAUUAGCGGGGAAAGAAGACCCUUUUGAGCUUGACUCUAAUCUGGCAGUGUAAGGAGACAUAAG